rnacentral:rRNA from 1 species
ACGAACGCUGGCGGCGUGCUUAACACAUGCAAGUCAAGGGGGCCCAGCAAUGGGCAACCGGCGAACGGGUGCGUAACACGUGAGCAACCUACCGAACUGUGGGGGAUAGCCGGCCUAACGGCCGAGUAAUACCGCAUACGCUUUCAGUGAGGCAUUUCAUUGAAAGGAAACCUUCCGGGGGGAACGAGGGGCUCGCGGCCUAUCAGCUAGUUGGCGAGGGUAACGGCCCACCAAGGCUACGACGGGUAGCUGGUCUGAGAGGAUGGCCAGCCACAUUGGGACUGAGAGACGGCCCAGACUCCUACGGGAGGCAGCAGUGGGGAAUCUUGCGCAAUGGCCGAAAGGCUGACGCAGCGACGCCGCGUGUGGGAGGACGCUCUUCGGGGUGUAAACCACUGUUGCCCGGGACGAAUAGCUUCUUUCGAGAAGCCUGACGGUACCGGGUGAGGAAGCGCCGGCUAACUCUGUGCCAGCAGCCGCGGUAAUACAGAGGGCGCGAGCGUUGUCCGGAAUCACUGGGCGUAAAGGGCGCGUAGGUGGCGGCACAAGCGUGCGGUGAAAGCCCGGGGCUCAACUCCGGGUCGGCCGUGCGAACUGUGUUGCUCGGGCAUGGUAGAGGCAGGUGGAAUUCCGGGUGUAGCGGUGGAAUGCGUAGAGAUCCGGAAGAACACCGGUGGCGAAGGCGGCCUGCUGGGCCAUGGCUGACACUGAGGCGCGACAGCGUGGGGAGCAAACAGGAUUAGAUACCCUGGUAGUCCACGCCGUAAACGAUGGGCACUAGGUGCUUGGGGGAGCGACCCCCUGGGUGCCGGCGCUAACGCAUGAAGUGCCCCGCCUGAGGAGUACGGCCGCAAGGCUGAAACUCAAAGGAAUUGACGGGGGCCCGCACAAGCGGUGGAGCAUGUGGUUUAAUUCGACGCAACGCGAAGAACCUUACCUGGCCUUGACAUGCAUUGCUAAGCUGGUGAAAGCCAGUGAGUGUCGAAAGACACACCUUGCACAGGUGCUGCAUGGCUGUCGUCAGCUCGUGUCCGUGAGAUGUUGGGUUAAGUCCCGCAACGAGCGCAACCCCUGUGAACUGUUGCCACGUCCUUGAUUGGACAGCACUCUGUUCAGACUGCCCUGUGAAACGGGGAGGAAGGUGGGGACGACGUCAAGUCAGUAUGGCCCUUACGGCCAGGGCUGCACACGUACUACAAUGCCCAGUACAGAACGAUCCGAGACCGCGAGGUGGAGGAAAUCCAGUAAAACUGGGCUCAGUUCGGAUUGAAGGCUGCAACUCGCCUUCAUGAAGCCGGAAUCGCUAGUAAUGCCGUAUCAGCUACGACGGCGUGAAUACGUUCCCGGGCCUUGUACACACCGCCCGUCACAUCAUGGAAGUCACUUGUAGCCGAAGUGCGCGCGCCAACCCGCAAGGGGAGCAGCGCCCUACGCUAUGAGCGGUAACUGGGAUG